rnacentral:rRNA from 1 species
AUUGAACGCUGGCGGCAUGCCUAACACAUGCAAGUCGAGCGGAUGAACGGGGAUUGUGCCCGGCUGCCGCGGGGGGCGGGCGAGUGAUGCACAGGUAUAUACCUGGUAGAGGGGGCUAACGUCCGUACAGGGGCGCUAAUAUAGCACACGCCCUGAGGGUGAAAGGGGGGGUUCUUUGGUGCCCACGCUAUCUGAUGUGCCUAGGUCGGAUUAGCUAGUUGGUGGGGUAAAGGCCUACCAAGGCGACGAUCCGUAACUGGUCUGAGAGGAUGAUCAGUCACACUGGAACUGAGACACGGUCCAGACUCCUACGGGAGGCAGCAGUGGGGAAUAUUGGACAAUGGGCGAAAGCCUGAUCCAGCAAUGCCGCGUGUGUGAAGAAGGUCUUCGGAUUGUAAAGCACUUUUAGUUGGGAAGAAAGACUGUGAAAUAAUACCUUCCUGUUUUGACGGUACCUAAAGAAUAAGCACCGGCUAACUACGUG